UCGGCAACAUGGUCCAUGACCUUAUGAAGUUUAAAAUCUUGUUGCGGAGACAAGGCCAACAAACAUAACAUUCAUCAGCAAAUCAAGGCACAGCCACACCCUAAUCCAAUCGGUAUUCACAAUCCAACUAUCACAUGUUUAUCAGGGGUUUUUUGUUGUUGGUUUAAAUGUUUCUUUUUUUUUUUUUUUUUUUAAGAGAUGAGGUUGGCCGGGCGCCAUGGCUCACGCCUGUAAUCCCAGCACUUUGGGAGGCUGAGGUGGACGGAUCACAAGGUCAGGAGUUGGAGACCAGCCUGGCCAGUAUGGUGAAACCCCGUUUCUACUAAAAAUACAAAAAUUAGCCGGGCGUGGUGGUGCACGCCUGUAGUCCCAACUACUCGGGAGGCUAAGGCAGGAGAAUCGCUUGAACCCAGGAGGCAGAGGUUGCAGUGAACCGAGAUCACGCCACUGCACUCCAACCUGGGUGACAGAGAGACUCCAUCUGAAAAAAAAAAAAAGAGAGAGAGAGAUGAGGUCUCGCUCUGUCCCCCAGGCUGCAGUGUGGUGGUACAAUCACUGCAGCCUCGAG
rnacentral:lncRNA from 1 species